CUUUUUAUAGGAUUUCGACCACACUGGGUCGAUUUUUUAACUGGAAAAGUGAAUUUCGACCACGUGUGGUCGAAAUUAAUUUUUGUACAAAUAAUAAAUGGAAAAAAAAUAUUUUAUACAUAAUUAAAUUAUAUAAAUAUAAAACAAUUAAUUAAAAAAUAAAAAUAAAAAACAAAUUUCGACCGCAUGUGGUCGAAAAUUUGAACAGAUUUUUUUUAGUCCCCAUUGGGUCUCUUUUCGUUUUAUUUUUGCUCCUUCUCUUUCUCUCUAUUUCCUCUCUCCCUCUCCUCUCUCUACGCCUCCCCCCACCCGACUGCCCCACCACCCGUCGACGCUUAACUCGCAGCCACCUCCUUUCCCGACCAGCAGCGUCUCCACUGCCGUUUUCGAGCAGCAGUUAGUGUGAGCGAAGUUGAAGCAUUAUUUGAGCUGUUCAAGAAUAUUAGCAGUUCCGUAAUAGAUGACGGGCUAAUAAGCAAGUAGAAAGUGAAGGUUAUGGGGGGAAGAUGGAUGAAGAUUUUGGAGUGGACAUGUGAAACUGUGAAUUUACCAUGUUAUUAGCAUAUCUUCUUUAGAAAGAAAACUUAAUCGAGUUUAUAUUUUUAUUUUCGAGUGGAUAAAUAAUGAAAAUACUGCAAGGUGCUGACACGAGGAAUUGCCAUGGUUUUGUCGACUGAUGUGAAAUGUUCCAUAUGUGAUAAAUAUGGGGAGGCUGGUCUUAAAGAAGCUGGCAUGGGUAUGGGGUGAGACUUUCUUACUGUAUAAGAAAAUAUAGCAAUAGUUUCAGAGGGUUAUCAUACCUAUAUAAGGCACUUUAAUAAUAGUUUCAGAGGGUUCUUUUCAUUAGAUAAUUUCAUAAUUAUCUAAUGAAAAGAAUGAACAACAGAAGAUGCAUUGGCUAAAAAAAUCAUUUGUAUCUUGUUAAUUGUUUCUUAUACAAUUUUAGUUAUCAUAUUCAAAUUUGUAGGAUAAACUAUAGUUAGCUACAUAAAUCUAUUGAUGUUCACCUUAUCUACUCUUCUUUUUCCUAUUUCUAUCCUUUUUUCUAUAUGGAGCUUCUACAGACCAUAUUUUGCAGGCCUAUUAAAAUUACCAAAAUAUGUGGUGUCAAGUGUUUCACAAUUUGUCGAAGAGACAAAUCCUAAAUACCAGAUUUUGUCCUUGUAGGUCAGUUCAAGAGGACUGAACUGUUAUGAUGAGAUCGGGUCGCAACUAAAAAUAUGAAACAACAUUGGUGAAGAGUAUUGCUUUUCUUGGUAUAGACAUUUUUGGAAGCAGAUUCAAAUCGGGACGGAAAGAUUGACAAAUCUGAAUGGCACAAUUUUGUGGGCCGAAAUCCUUCAUUAUUAAAGAUAAUGACUCUUUCGUAUCUAAGGAGUAUGAAGCUAUGAAGCAUCAAGUUGCUCAGCUAACAAGAACACUUAAUUCCUCGGAGGCUAGGAUGUUGGGUAUGCAAACCCAAAUUAAUAGUUUAUGAUGGAUAUGUUUAAAUGGAUAUGUAUAUUAUCUUUAAGGGUUUGAAUGUAGUUUUAGUUCGAAUUAGAAGUACUUUUAAGUUUAUAAUGUUUAAGUGUUUGAAUGAUGUUUAUGAUGUUUAAGUGUUUGAAUGUAGUUUAUGAUGUUUAAGUGUUUGAAUGUAGUUUUAAUUUUAAGUACUUUGAGGUUGAAUUUGAUUGUUUAUAAGUGUUUGAAUGGACAAUGUUUAAGUGUUCAAGUGUUUGAACAUUGUUUA